rnacentral:rRNA from 1 species
AGUGAACGCUGGCGGUAGGCCUAACACAUGCCAGUCGAACGGCAGCACAGUAAGUGCUUGCUCUUACGGGUGGCGAGUGGCGGACGGGGGAGGAAUACAUCGGAAUCUACUUUUUCGUGGGGGCUAACGUAGGGACACUUACGCUAAUACCGCAUACGACCUACGGGGGAAAGCAUGGGAUCUUCGGACCUUGCGCGAUUGAAUGAGCCGAUGUCGGAUUAGCUAGUUGUCGGGGUAAAGCCCCACCAAGGCGACGAUCCGUAGGUGGUAUGAGCGGUUGAUCGGCAACACGGAACCUAGAAAACGGUCCAGACCCCACGGGAGGGAGGAAGGGGGAAAUUUGGGACAAGGGGCGAAAGCCUGUCCCAGCCAUACCGCGGGGGUGAAGAAGUCCUUCGGGUUGUAAAGCCCUUUUGUUGGGAAAGAAAAGAAGCAGGUUAAUCCCCCGCUGUUCGGCCGGUACCCAAAGAAUAAGCACCGGCUACCUUCUU